ACAGGGACCUGAAGGAGAAUAGAGUGCUGCAGGACACCUGGAAGGAGGAAGGUGCUCAAGGAGCUAUGGCCAUAACACCAGCAGAACCUCGGUAGGUGAGAAACUGCUUAACUAAUAGCUAUUGCAUUGCAGCAAAGGCAACGGCUACGGAGUUCUGAAACAACGCCUACUAGCAUCAGACAACGCUCACUAGCGGCCAUCGCUCACAAAGCAGCUACUAUGGCAGCAGGACCACAAGCCAUAGCAAUGGCUUCCGUAAGUAGCUAACGGCCGUUCCAUCCUAGUAAAGCAGCUACAACAGCACCGGAAGCCACGCUCGCUAGCAUCUUUCCCAAGCAGCUACAGCAGCAGCACCACAGAAUUCUAUGGUCUCCACUGCAACGACUCUUAUCUCAGGACUGUGGAAGAUGGAAUUAAGGUAACUGCCAUGGUAACAUCUAAUAAAGAUCUUGCAGCUCAUUAAAAAGAGGGAUGAUAGUCCAGCACAGAGCAGCAUAGGCCUGAUUGAAGUCUAUGGAAAGAUUUCCAUAGACUUAGGUGGACUUUGGAUCAUGUUCAGGAUUCCCCCAAAUACCUCUCCCAGUAC
rnacentral:lncRNA from 1 species